AGCUCCAAUAGCGUAUAUUAAAGUUGUUGCAGUUAAAAAGCUCGUAGUUGGAUUUCUGGGAGGGUGCCAAUGUCCGCCGACGUGCGUGCGCAGCGGCGCCCUCUCAUCCUUCUGUUAACGUCUCUCGGCAUUCACUUGCCGGUGGCGGGCUCAGAUAUUUUACCUUGAGAAAAUUAGAGUGUUUCAGGCAGGCUAGGCCGGAAUACAUUAGCAUGGAAUAAUGGAAUAGGACUUCGGUCUCUUUGUUGGUUUGAGGGACUGCAGUAAUGAUUAAUAGGGAUAGUUGGGGGCAUUAGUAUUUAAUUGUCAGAGGUGGAAUUCUCGGAUUUGUUAAAGACUAACUUAUGCGAAAGCAUUUGCCAAGGAGGUUU
rnacentral:rRNA from 1 species